GAUGAACGCUGGCGGCGUGCCUAAUACAUGCAAGUCGAGCGAACAGACGAGGAGCUUGCUCCUCUGACGUUAGCGGCGGACGGGUGAGUAACACGUGGAUAACCUACCUAUAAGACUGGGAUAACUUCGGGAAACCGGAGCUAAUACCGGAUAAUAUAUUGAACCGCAUGGUUCAAUAGUGAAAGACGGUUUUGCUGUCACUUCUCGAUGGAUCUCAGCCGCAUUAGCUAGUUGGUAAGGUAACGGGUUAUCAAGGCAACGAUGCGUAUCCGACCUGAGAGAGGGAUCGGCCACACGGGAGCUUAGACACGGUCCAGAGUCCUACGGGAGGCAGCAGUAGGGAAUCUUCCGCAGUGGUCGAAAGCCUUGCGGAGCAACGCGGCGUGAGUGAUGAAGGUCUUCGGAUCGUAAAACUCUGUUAUGGGUGGAGAACAAAUGUGGAAGUAACUAUGCACGGCUUGACGGUACCUAAUCAGAAAGCCACGGCUAACUACGUG
rnacentral:rRNA from 1 species